CUUCCGAGUGUGGGCCUCAACGGCCCAGGUCUGGGCCAAUAAUUGCCGUAAGGUUUAAGCCGGCAAUCUCCGUGCUUUCAGAGGCCCGGGGGGUGGGGGAUCGCUUGAGGCUAGGAGUUGAAGACCAGCUUGGACAAUAUAGUGAGACCUUUCACCUUCCCCCGAUCUCUACAAAAAUUUUAAAAAUCAGCUGGGCAUGGCGGCAUGUGCCUGUAGUCCCAGCUACUUGGGAGACUGAGGUGGGAGGAUCGCUAGAAUCAAGCGUUCCAGGCUUCAGUGAGCUGGGAUGACUCCGCAGCACUCCAGCCUGGGUGACAGAGAGAGACCUGUCUCUAAAGAAAUAAUAAUUAAAAAAAAAUACAUUUCUAAACAGACAUACAUUUUGAGUGCUGACUGUGCCAAAUAUUGUUGCAAUGUCUUCACAUCUCCCAUCAGCUCCACUUACAGAUAAGUGAGGAAGAGAAGCACAUAAUUUGUCCAAGGCUACAAAGCUGAAUGAGACUUUAUAUAUUUAUGUUAUUUUAUUUAUUUACUUUUGAGACAGGGUCUCUGUGCCCAGGCUGGAGUGCAGUGGCUGGAUCUCGGCUCACUGCAACCUCCACCUCCAGGGUUCAAGUGAUUCUCCUGCCUCAGCCUUCCAAGUAGCUGAGAUUACAGGCGUGCGCCACUAUGCCCACCUAAUUUCUUGUACGCCCAGCUAAUUUAUUGUAUUUUAGUAAAGAUGGGGUUUCACCAUGUUGACCAGGCUGGUCUCAAAUUCCUGACUUCAAGUGAUCCACCCGCCUUGGCCUCCCAGAGUGCUGGGAUUACAGGCGCACGUCACCCCGCCCUGAGUGGGACAUAAAUGCAGGUCUCGUCCAGUUUACAGCUCCAAGCCCUUAAUUACUACAUAACACUUAAUUACUACAUAACUGCUUCCUCAGGAUAAUCCUGCUUAGUCCUGUGAACCAACCAAUGAUCUCUGACUGCUGCUCAGAAGAAACAAGAGGACGGAUGGAGAUGGGGUCUUGCUAUGUUGCCCAGGCUGGUCUUCAACUCCUGGCCUCAAGUGAUAUUCGGACCCUCGCCUCCCAGAGUGAUGGGAUUAUAAGUGUGAACCAAUUCAUCUGGCCUAAAGUCUAUGUCUUCUGCACAGGUUUCCUCUCUGCUCUGCCACUACAUCAAUGCAUGCAAGAACUUUAACGAGUUGACCUGUUACCGACAACAUAAAAAAACCAGCAUAAUAUAUACAAAAUUAUUUUGUCAGGAGAAAAUUUAUCAUGAUUUAUCAUGUUGGCAACAGAAGACAUCCUGCUGACCUCCAAGUGGCUGGCAUAGUUCAUCCACCCCGUGACAGGCCCACUGGGACUGUAGUGAACAUGUCUGUACCUCAGCACAAAGUCCCCUUUCCCUGAGAAAUGUACACAAGGAGAGAUGAAGAGCGUGUACCCAAAAGAAAGAGGAAGAGGCUGGAGACCUUGUGUCCCAAGCUCAGAACUUCAGGGGGAUGACCGG